rnacentral:rRNA from 1 species
UACGUAGGAGGCAAGCGUUGUCCGGAAUUACUGGGCGUAAAGCGCGUGUAGGUGGUGGGACAAGUCUGCUGAGAAAGCGCCUGGCUUAACCGGGCGAGGUCGGCGGAAACUGUCCGACUCGAGGACGGUAGAGGGGGGUGGAAUUCCCGGUGUAGUGGUGAAAUGCGUAGAGAUCGGGAGGAACACCUGUGGCGAAGGCGGCCCCCUGGGCCGGCCCUGACACUGAGACGCGAAGGCGUGGGGAGCGAACGGG